UACGUAGGGGGCUAGCGUUGUCCGGAAUCAUUGGGCGUAAAGAGCGUGUAGGCGGCCCGGUAAGUCCGCUGUGAAAGUCGGGGGCUCAACCCCGGGCGUGCGGUGGAUACUGCCGGGCUAGAGGGUGGUAGAGGCGAGUGGAAUUCCCGGUGUAGCGGUGAAAUGCGCAGAUAUCGAGAGGAACACCAGUAGCGAAGGCGGCUCGCUGGGCCAUUCCUGACGCUGAGACGCGAAAGCUAGGGGAGCGAACAGG
rnacentral:rRNA from 1 species